UACGUAGGGUCCGAGCGUUGUCCGGAAUUAUUGGGCGUAAAGAGCUCGUAGGCGGUUUGUCGCGUCUGCUGUGAAAUCCCGAGGCUCAACCUCGGGCUUGCAGUGGGUACGGGCAGACUGGAGUGCGGUAGGGGAGAAUGGAAUUCCUGGUGUAGCGGUGGAAUGCGCAGAUAUCAGGAGGAACACCGAUGGCGAAGGCAGUUCUCUGGGCCGUAACUGACGCUGAGGAGCGAAAGCGUGGGGAGCGAACAGG
rnacentral:rRNA from 1 species